rnacentral:rRNA from 1 species
UGGCUCAGGACCGAACGCUGGCGGCAGGCCUAACACAUGCAAGUCGAACGGUAACAGGAAGCAGCUUGCUUCUUUGCUGACGAGUGGCGGACGGGUGAGUAAUGUCUGGGAAACUGCCUGAUGGAGGGGGAUAACUACUGGAAACGGUAGCUAAUACCGCAUAACGUCGCAAGACCAAAGAGGGGGACCUUCGGGCCUCUUGCCAUCGGAUGUGCCCAGAUGGGAUUAGCUAGUAGGUGGGGUAACGGCUCACCUAGGCGACGAUCCCUAGCUGGUCUGAGAGGAUACCAGCCACACUGAACUGAGACACGUCC